GUCAGUGUGGCCGAGUGGUUAAGGCGCUAGACUUGAACUAUAUAUGGUACAUAGUUAAAAACUAUAUCAUAUGGUAUAUCUAGUACAUUCGUGUUCGUAGGUUCAAAUCCUGCCGCUGACG